rnacentral:rRNA from 1 species
GACGAACGCUGGCGGCGUGCUUAACACAUGCACGGAAAGGCCCUUCGGGGUACUCGAGCGGCGAACGGGUGAGUAACACGUGAGCAACCUGCCCCUGGCUCUGGGAUAGCUCCGGGAAACCGGGAUUAAUACCGGACAUGACCUUCUGCGGCAUCGCGGUUGGUGGAAAGUUUUUCGGCCAGGGAUGGGCUCGCGGCCUAUCAGCUUGUUGGUGGGGUAGUGGCCUACCAAGGCGACGACGGGUAGCCGGCCUGAGAGGGCGACCGGCCACACUGGGACUGAGACACGGCCCAGACUCCUACGGGAGGCAGCAGUGGGGAAUAUUGCGCAAUGGGCGGAAGCCUGACGCAGCGACGCCGCGUGCGGGAUGAAGGCCUUCGGGUUGUAAACCGCUUUCGCCUGUGACGAAGCGCAAGUGACGGUAACAGGUAAAGAAGCACCGGCCAACUACGUGCCAGCCGCCGCCGUAAUAC